rnacentral:rRNA from 1 species
AUUGAACGCUGGCGGCAGGCCUAACACAUGCAAGUCGAGCGGGCGGCGGGCGGGUGAGGUAUGUAUGGGGGCUGCCCGCUAGGGGGGGAUACCUACUGGCGACGGUAACUCAUACCGCAUAUUAUCGGAUCACCCCUAUGGGAUUAGCUAGUAGGUGAGGUAAUGGCUCACCUAGGCGACGAUCCCUAGCUGGUCUGAGAGGAUGAUCAGCCACACUGGGACUGAGACACGGCCCAGACUCCUACGGAGGCAGCAGUGGGGAAUAUUGGACAAGGGGCGCAAGCCUGAUGCAGCCAUGCCGCGUGUAUGAAGAAGGCCUUAGGGUUGUAAAGUACUUUCAGUAGGGAGGCGUUACCGGCAGAAGAAGCACCGGCUAACUCCGUGCCAGCAGCCGCGGUAAUUC